rnacentral:rRNA from 1 species
UACGUAGCAGCGAGCGUUGUUCGGAGUUACUGGGCGUAAAGGGUGCGUAGGCGGCGCGGUAAGUCGGGUGUGAAAUCUCGGAGCUUAACUCCGAAACCUGCAUUCGAUACUGCCGUGCUUUGAGGACUGGGAGAGGAGACUGGAAUUUACGGUGUAGCGGUGAAAUGCGUAGAUAUCGUAAGGAAGACCAGUGGCGGAAGGCGGGUCGCUGGACAGUUCCUGACGCUGAGGAGCGAAAGACAGUGGGUAGCGAACAGGG